rnacentral:rRNA from 1 species
AAGUCAGCGGUAAAAAUUCGGGGCUCAACCCCGUCCGGCCGUUGGAACUGGAGGCCGUGAGUGGGCGAGAAGUAUGCGGAAUGCGUGGUGUAGCGGUGAAAUGCAUAGAUAUCACGCAGAACUCCGAUUGCGAAGGCAGCAUACCGGCGCCCGACUGACGCUGAGGCACGAAAGCGUGGGGAUCGAACAGG